rnacentral:rRNA from 1 species
CAGCAGCCACGGGAACACGUAGGGUGCGAGCGUUAAUCGGAAUUACUGGGCGUAAAGCGUGCGCAGGCGGUUGUGUAAGACAGGUGUGAAAUCCCCGGGCUUAACCUGGGAACUGCGCUUGUGACUGCACAGCUAGAGUAUGGCAGAGGGGGGUGGAAUUCCACGUGUAGCAGUGAAAUGCGUAGAGAUGUGGAGGAACACCGAUGGCGAAGGCAGCCCCCUGGGCCAAUACUGACGCUCAUGCACGAAAGCGUGGGGAGCAAACAGGAUUAGAUACCCGAGUAGUCCCUGUCUCUUAUAC